AUAGAAAUGGAUGUUAGGAGGGCAAAUCCGCUGAAUUUAAGCAUAUAAUUAAGCGGAAGAAAAGAAAAUAACUAU